rnacentral:rRNA from 1 species
CACGUAGGGCGCAAGCGUUGUCCGGAAUUAUUGGGCGUAAAGAGCUCGUAGGCGGUUUGUUGCGUCCGCUGUGAAAACUCGGGGCUUAACCCCGAGCCUGCAGUGGAUACGGGCAGACUAGAGGUAGGUAGGGGAGAAUGGAAUUCCCGGUGUAGCGGUGAAAUGCGCAGAUAUCGGGAGGAACACCGGUGGCGAAGGCGGUUCGCUGGGCAUUAACUGACGCUGAGGAGCGAAAGCGUGGGGAGCGAACAGG